rfam:Ailuropoda melanoleuca scaffold1628_5, whole genome shotgun sequence.
GUCAGGAUGGCCGAGUGGUCUAAGGCGCCAGACUCAAGGUGUUUACCUUCCCUGCGGGCGUUCUGGUCUCUGAAUAGAGGCGUGGGUUCGAAUCCCACUUCUGACA